AAUUUGAAAUUGUAUAUCCUCUUCUCUUUUAACUUGCAGUCGAACAAAAAUUGUCUCCGAACAAAAGUACCCGUCGGCAGCUAUUGUUGAUAGAUAAAACUAUCAAGUACACAAUUCAUAUAGAUUUUAUCCGAACGUCUUGAAUUUACGAUAAUUAUUCUCUGUAUCAAUCUGUGAUUACGGUGUUUUCCAAACACUGGAAACAUCUAUGGUUUUCGUUUUCCUUCUCCCAUCGUUAGCAGAUUGCUCAUCCUUGGGCGAGGCCUACGAGGCCACACGGAUUGUUCACAGAGAGAAUAUAGUUACAAAAUUGAAAUAAGCGUUCUUGGCCAAGAUUUAAUAAAUUGUCUGUAAUAAAACAACUUUAUCAACUUUCGAUCUAAUUUCGUUUAUAAUUUUUCGCUGUAUCAACCAGUGAUUACGGUGUUUUCAACGCAGAGAACAUCUAUGGUUUUCGUUAUCCUCUUCCCAUCGUUAGCAGAUUGCUUAUCCUUGGACGAGGCCUACGAAGCCACACUGAUUAUCCACAGUGAACCCAGUUGCCAAUUAAAAUAAUCAUUUUUCGCUUACGACUCCACUAGUUGCCAAGAACGACUUAUAUUUUCUAAAUUGUUAAAUCUAACUGAUUAUUCGCUGUGUUAAACCUGUGUUAACGGUGUUUUCAAUUAUCGAAAACACUUAUCGAUUUUCGCAAUCCUCCUCCCAUCGUUGGCAAAUAUCGCCCGUCUUUGGGCAAGGCUUGCGAAAUCGUACAAGUCGCACACAGAGAGUGAUGUUCAUUUCACCUUGAUCAUAUCAGAUGACAAAAACAAGAAAGAAUCGAAAAGAUAAAAGUCACCUCAGCAAGAAGCGAUGAAUGGUCUGAAUUUUAAAUAAGGACUCUUCUACUCUAUGUUAUUCCCGCUUAUUUAUAAUAUCCUAAUUGUCACGUGAUGGAUCAUCUCUAUGGGAGUCACAGCAUUGCUACGUGACAAAUUAGGAAUUUUGUAACUGUCUACUUUCGCGGAUUGUACUGAAGUUUUGUCUUCUUGAUUAUCUUAUUUACGCUAUUCCUAAUUUCUCGUAUCCUAGAGACACAUAAAUGCUGCUGAAGUUUCGUCUUCUUAAUUUCUCGUAUUUCGUUGAGUAUUAGGGACAUGCAAGGUGCGUGAUAAAAUGUAGGUAUCGUAGUAGCUCGUAUUUUGCUAAUGUUGCGUCUGCGAUGUUUCCCAGAACUUCCUUACUGAUGCCAGUGGAACGUGGCAGGCGCGUGCCAACUUGUCCUUGCUGAAGUUGCAUCUGCGAUGUAUCUGGUAACUUCUUUGCUUUUGCCAGUGAAUCGUUCAAGGCGCGUGGCAACUUAGUAUUUGCCGAGUCUUCUUAUGCGUUAUUUCCUGUUUCUUUCAAUAAAAUAUCAUUUUUUUUUUUAUAAUAGUAAGCUUAAUAUAUUAUUUCAUGGUUUGUUUCUCACGGCUGGUUUCUAUCAAUUUCCAGUAUUCUUGCGUUACGUUGUAUUGAUCAUUAUUUGUUCUUUCUUUGUUACGAUCUUUCAUUUUUAUAAUCAUUUAUUUAAAAUAUGAUUUAUUUUGUAACGCAUAAAGGUUACUAUAUGCACGUGUUGAUUAUCCAAAAUGGCCGCCUGUGAAUGUUCGUAGUAUAUAGUAACAUUUUAUUAAUGUGAAAUCUAUUAUUUAUCCGUUAAUUAUUUAUGACUUUAUUUUAAUAGUUGACGUAUAAUUGCAGUGGGAAUAAUAUUAUUUUGCAUUUAUUUAAUGUGCGUAAUUAUUGCAUGUAUGCCGAUGCGCACGUGUAAGAGCUAUCAUAACAGUCCAAGAUGGCCGCUCGUGAGUGUCUCUAGUAAAAGUGUAGUGACGCGUCCUUAAUUUGUUUAAUACUGAAACAAUUAUUCGUCCGUCGCUUAUUUUCCUUUAUUUUAGCGCAGUUAGAAUUUUUAAAUGACAAUAGUAUUGUUUGUGUAAUCAUUAUAAUGUGUAUAUAUACUAUGUGUUACUUUAAUAUAAUAACAUGUGGAUUGUGUUAUUGUUAAUUUUUAUAAUUUAUCAAUAGCACUAUUUUAUUGUUGUGUUUCGAGUGGUUUAUUUUUAUAGAGUGUUCGCUUAAUUAAUUUAGUACUAAUAUGUGCAUAGUGUGUUAUUUUAAUAUAAUAGCAUGUGGCUCGUGUUAUUGUUAAAUUUUAUAAUUUAUCAAUAGCACUGUUUUAUUGUUGUGUUACGAGUGGUUUAUUUUUGUAGAGUGUUCGCUUAAUUAAUUUGAUAGUAAUAUGUGCAUAGUUUGUUAUUACCAGUUCUACUGCGUAAAAUAACCUUAUUUCUCUACGCUAGACUUAAUACAAUUAUGCUAUAUUAACUUAGUACAAUAUAAUAAUUUUUUAUCUUAAUCGCGUUUGUCGUUGAUACUCAGUUAAUCAGUUUUGAUUAAUUCAUAACCUAUUCCUAUAUUAUUGGCUAUUUUCUGUUUCUUUGUUAUGAAGUUGUCGUUACCUUGUUCUACAAUUCUAAUCCUUCAUCGCUGUGUCCUUUACUUGGAACGGUUACAUGGUAUGCGUUUGGUAUCUUCUGAUUCUUCGUUACAUGUCUAACACUUGUCAAGACUACUUUUACUUAUCCUAGAAUUUUUCUUGUUGCUGCCUUGACUGUUUCAGUAGUAUCUGGUUCAGUAUUCCGUAAGUAUUCACUUAAGUUUGGUAGUAGGCUUCUUGUAACUGCGUCGGUUUUAAUGUAUAUCUUCCGAUGUUAUGAUUGGUUACGUCGGUAUUUAUUACUUUCGAUAUCUUCAUACCGUCGUAUAUUAUGUUUUGCAAAGUUGGAUCCGUAGCCAAUUCUCGUGGAGUUCCUGCAUGCACACUUUCUUCUACGAUGAUUGGUUGCAUACAAAUCUCGUUAACUUAUAAAUAAUAUCAACUUCGAUUCUUCGUACACGUUUACUCCAAUUUGGUAGUUGGUUUCUCAUAACUGUGUUGACCCUUGUAUAAAUUUCUUCAAUUUAGCUGUCAUACCUUGUGUUCUACGGAUAUGGACAAAUAACCUGUCUUCGCAUAUACACUUCCUUCUACGAUGAGUAAUUGUUCACGAGGUAUUUUCCACUUCCUCUGUUUUGUUACCACUAUCUGCAGUAUUCGACAAGCAGUGUUGUUCCAUAUACUACCGUACUACGUUGUCUCUUGAAAUCGUUCUUGUGGUCUGUUUCGAUUCUGUUAGUUUUAACUUGUUCGAGUGUAUUGUUCGUGGAAUCCCUUUUACUUUAAUCUUGACGUUUCGUGUGUGGAUUCUGACAAUAGUACCUGGUUUAUUGAAGUGUGUUAAUAUGCCUAGGUGUUUUAUAUAUUUUAUAUCUAGUUGUAUAUAAGAUAUAUUUUGUUUAUUGUGGUUUUGUAUGUCCAUAUUUGCUGUAUAUUAAAUUGCUUGAUAUUU